rnacentral:rRNA from 1 species
UACGUAGGGUGCAGGCGUUAAUCGGAAUUACUGGGCGUAAAGCGUGCGCAGGCGGUUUGCUAAGACAGGUGUGAAAUCCCCGGGCUCAACCCGGGAACUGCGUCCGAUACUGGAAGGCUUGAAUCCGGGAGAGGGAUGUGGAAUUCCAGGUGUAGCGGUGAAAUGCGUAGAUAUCAAGAGGAACACCAGUGGCGAAGGCGAGUCCCUGGACAACACCUGACACUGAGGCACGAAAGCUAGGGGAGCAAACAGG